rnacentral:rRNA from 1 species
UAAUACAUGCCAGUCGAGCGAACAGACGAGGAGCUUGCUCCUCUGACGUUAGCGGCGGACGGGUGAGUAACACGUGGAUAACCUACCUAUAAGACUGGGAUAACUUCGGGAAACCGGAGCUAAUACCGGAUAACAUGUUGAACCGCAUGGUUCAACAGUGAAAGACGGUCUUGCUGUCACUUAUAGAUGGAUCCGCGCCGCAUUAGCUAGUUGGUAAGGUAACGGCUUACCAAGGCAACGACGCGUAGCCGACCUGAGAGGGUGAUCGGCCACACUGGAACUGAGACACGGUCCAGACUCCUACGGGAGGCAGCAGUAGGGAAUCUUCCGCAAUGGGCGAAAGCCUGACGGAGCAACGCCGCGUGAGUAAAGAAGGUCUUCGGAUCGUAAAACUCUGUUAUUAGGGAAGAACAAAUGUGUAAGUAACUAUGCACGUCUUGAUGGUACCUAAUCAGAAAGCCACGGCUAACUACGU